AAACCAGGCUCUAAAACAGAUCUUUCAAUGUAUUCAAACAACUCACUCAAGGCUGCUCGAAAUUAAGUUUUGAAUUCAGUGAUUUUAAAAGCAUGUAAAGUGUCUCUUUUUUAAACUUUAAAUGAAAAUGAUUUUCUGAAGUUAAAAAAAAACUUACAUCCAGAAAAGAGAAACAAGAAGAGCGGGGUUCAUACCUGUGGACAAAACUGAUCCAGAUGCCAAACCACACUUUAUGGAACAUGUUGGCCCAGCAACUUCAUUCAAUGGGGAUAAUAAAAUACCAGAGAAACCACCUCAUAAGGUAAGCCGGUUCCUUCUCUGGCUGUGAAACCCAGCUCUGCCACCUGCCAGAAUGGCCCCAACACCCGGGACCGACCCAGAGUGGGUCAGACAAGCCGGGGUGGGAAUGGAAGGCCAGGAGGGACUCCAAUGUCACCUACCCUUCCUUCCCCACAUACAACCCCAGGAUCCAGAUAGCUGUAGGGACCAAAGUGAAAUUUCCUCUUCAUAUUAAAUGCAUACAACCCACAAUACAACCGGUUCCAGCAAGGCGAGGAAAAAGUAUGUGAGCAAUUCUCUUUGACAAUUACAAUGUUUAAAAUGUGAAUUUUUAACCACACAAAAAUCAACAACUCUAUUUUCUUUCUGCACUACUUCUAAAGCCCAAGCAAUUAUCGCAUAAGCUUUCUUUAGCAUAGUUUUAGGAAUGAAGACCCAGGAAACACUCUAUAAUAACAUAGUUUCAAAGUACAUUUUUACACUUCUAGACACUCAUUAAUUUCCAUUUGCACAUUUAAUUCAACUGAAAACUGUAAAAAAAAUACAAUUAAAAGCUUCCAAUGCCUAAUCAAAACUAAUCUAUUAUUUUCCAAGGAACUGCACAUCUAGUCUACCUUUCCAAAUGUUCUAUUACACCUUGAUAAUUUUGGGUAGCUUCUUUGAAGGAUUAAAAACCAGCAAUGGAAAAAAAGAGCCAAUAAAGCAUCCACUCCAGGUU